rnacentral:rRNA from 1 species
GAUGAACGCUAGCUACAGGCUUAACACAUGCAAGUCGAGGGGCAGCGCAGUGUAGCAAUACAUGGGCGGCGACCGGCGCACGGGUGCGUAACGCGUAUCCAACCUUCCCGUUACUCAGGGAUAGCCUUCCGAAAGGGAGAUUAAUACCUGAUGGUGUUUGAAUUCCGCAUGUUAUUUGAACUAAAGAUUUAUCGGUAACGGAUGGGGAUGCGUACCAUUAGAUAGUAGGCGGGGUAACGGCCCACCUAGUCGACGAUGGUUAGGGGUUCUGAGAGGAAGGUCCCCCACACUGGAACUGAGACACGGUCCAGACUCCUACGGGAGGCAGCAGUGAGGAAUAUUGGUCAAUGGCCGAGAGGCUGAACCAGCCAAGUAGCGUGAAGGAUGAAGGUUCUAUGGAUUGUAAACUUCUUUUAUACGGGAAUAACACCAUCUACGUGUAGAUGUCUGCAUGUACCGUAUGAAUAAGCAUCGGCUAACUCCGUG